rnacentral:rRNA from 1 species
AACGAACGCUGGCGGCAUGCCUAACACAUGCAAGUCGAACGAGACCUUCGGGUCUAGUGGCGCACGGGUGCGUAACGCGUGGGAACCUGCCCUUAGGUUCGGAAUAACUCCCCGAAAGGGGUGCUAAUACCGGAUAAUGUCUUCGGACCAAAGAUUUAUCGCCUUUGGAUGGGCCCGCGUUGGAUUAGCUAGUUGGUAGGGUAAAAGCCUACCAAGGCGACGAUCCAUAGCUGGUCUGAGAGGAUGAUCAGCCACACUGGGACUGAGACACGGCCCAGACUCCUACGGGAGGCAGCAGUGGGGAAUAUUGGACAAUGGGCGAAAGCCUGAUCCAGCAACGCCGCGUGAGUGAUGAAGGCCUUAGGGUUGUAAAGCUCUUUUACCCGGGAUGAUAAUGACAGGACCGGGAGAAUAAGCUCCGGCUAACUCCGU